CUUCUUGCAGGCCUAUCACACACUCCUGCUCGGGGCUCCUCUGGGCGUCAGGAGGUCUUCUUGGAGCUCAGAUAUCAACACUGAAGGAGUAAAUGUAACAGGAACUUUAAAACUAUGAUUUAAAUCAGACGUGUACGAGGUCCAGGAGCUGUGUGUGCGUAGACCUGGGGAACCAGACUACUGAUGGUGAUCACUUUGUAGUGUAUACAUUGGUCGAAUUUUAAUGUCGUACACCUGAAACUUAUAUAAUGUUAUAUACCGAUAUUACCUCAAUUUCAAAAGAAGAAGCGACCUUUGACCUCAGACGUGAGCAUGAGUCGGAGUGAGGUGUGGAGAGGAAGGAAGAGAGUCAGAGGAUGGUGAAGCCCCAGAACCUACCAGCAUCAGAAGGGCGAAGGACGCCAGGAGUGAGCUCGGGCACUUGGAGGGGCCCCGUCCUCUCCCCCACUGCUGCCUUGUGGGCUCGGCACCGAGGGAAGGACGGCCGCUCACAGAUCCUCCUCAGGGGCUGCAGCACAGGCUUCGCGGCACCCACCCCUUGCUGAGGACGAGCUGGGUAUGAUCCCCACAACUACUCCCUUACUCAGAUGGACCGACGGACACGCGGGAAUGACAGUCGGGAAGGAGCAGGGUCAGGUCUAGGUUUUCUGACUCUAAAAUGCCUCCUCUUUCCGUUCCUG
rnacentral:lncRNA from 1 species